AGAGUUGAUCUGGCUCAGGAUGAACGCUAGCGACAGGCUUAACACAUGCAAGUCGAGGGGCAGCACGGGAGUAGCAAUACAACUGGUGGCGACCGGCGCGACGGGUGAGUAACGCGUAUGCAACCACCUAUCGGGAGGGGAAUAACCCGGCGAAAGUCGGACUAAUACCGCAUAAAACAGGGGCACCGCAUGGUGAUAUUUGUUAAAGAGAUUCGCUGAUAGAUGGGCAUGCGUUCCAUUAGGUAGUUGGUGAGGUAACGGCUCACCAAGCCGACGAUGGAUAGGGGAACUGAGAGGUUGGUCCCCCACACUGGUACUGAGACACGGACCAGACUCCUACGGGAGGCAGCAGUGAGGAAUAUUGGUCAAUGGGCGGGAGCCUGAACCAGCCAAGUCGCGUAGGAAGGAAGAAGGAUCUAUGGUUACGUAAACUUCUUUGCGAGGGGAAUAAAGUGCAGGACGUGUCCUUGUUUUGUAUGUACCCUGAGAAUAAGGAUCGGCUAACUCCGUGCCAGCCGCCGC
rnacentral:rRNA from 1 species